rnacentral:rRNA from 1 species
AGAUUGAACGCUGGCGGCAGGCCUAACACAUGCAAGUCGAGCGGCAGCACGGGUACUUGUACCUGGUGGCGAGCGGCGGACGGGUGAGUAAUGCCUAGGAAUCUGCCUGAUAGUGAGGGAUAACGUUCGGAAACGGACGCUAAUACCGCAUACGUCCUACGGGAGAAAGUGGGGGAUCUUCGGACCUCACGCUAUCAGAUGAGCCUAGGUCGAUUAGCUAGUUGGUAGGUAAAGGCCUACCAAGGCUACGAUCCGUAACUGGUCUGAGAGGAUGAUCAGUCACACUGGAACUGAGACACGGUCCAGACUCCUACGGGAGCAGCAGUGGGAAUAUUGGACAAUGGGCGAAAGCCUGAUCCAGCCAU